AGGACGAACGCUGGCGGCGUGCUUAACACAUGCAAGUCGAGCGGAAAGGCCCUUCGGGGUACUCGAGCGGCGAACGGGUGAGUAACACGUGAGCAACCUGCCCUUAGCUUCGGGAUAGCUCCGGGAAACCGGAAUUAAUACCGAAUAUGAUUUUUGCUGACAUCAGCAGAAGUGGAAAGUUUUCGGCUAGGGAUGGACUCGCGGCCUAUCAGCUAGUUGGUGAGGUAACGGCCCACCAAGGCGACGACGGGUA
rnacentral:rRNA from 1 species